UGGGGAAUUUUGGACAAUGGGCGAAAGCCUGAUCCAGCCAUGCCGCGUGAGUGAAGAAGGCCUUCGGGUUGUAAAGCUCUUUUAGUCGGAAAGAAAGAGUCGCAAUGAAUAAUUGUGAUUUAUGACGGUACCGACAGAAAAAGCACCGGCUAACUACGUGCCAGCAGCCGCGGUAAUACGUAGGGUGCGAGCGUUAAUCGGAAUUACUGGGCGUAAAGGGUGCGCAGGCGGUUUUGCAAGUCAGAUGUGAAAGCCGCGGGCUUAACCUGGGAAUUGCGUUUGAAACUACAAGGCUAGAGUGCAGCAGAGGGGAGUGGAAUUCCAUGUGUAGCAGUGAAAUGCGUAGAGAUGUGGAAGAACACCGAUGGCGAAGGCAGCUCCCUGGGUUGACACUGACGCUCAUGCACGAAAGCGUGGGGAGCAAACA
rnacentral:rRNA from 1 species